rnacentral:rRNA from 1 species
UACGGGGGGGGCAAGCGUUGUUCGGAAUUACUGGGCGUAAAGGGCUCGUAGGCGGCCAACUAAGUCAGACGUGAAAUCCCUCGGCUUAACCGGGGAACUGCGUCUGAUACUGGAUGGCUCGAGUUUGGGAGAGGGAUGCGGAAUUCCUGGUGUAGCGGUGAAAUGCGUAGAUAUCAGGAGGAACACCGAUGGCGAAGGCAGAUCUCUGGGCCGUAACUGACGCUGAGGAGCGAAAGCGUGGGGAGCAAACAGG